GCAAGUCGAGCGGUAACAUUUCUAGCUUGCUAGAAGAUGACGAGCGGCGGACGGGUGAGUAACGCGUAGAAAUCUACCUAGUAGUGGGGGAUAGCCCAGAGAAAUUUGGAUUAAUACCGCAUACGCCCUACGGGGGAAAGGAGGGGACCUUCGGGCCUCGCGCUAUUGGAUGAGCCUGCGUCGGAUUAGCUUGUUGGUGAGGUAAAGGCUCACCAAGGCGACGAUCCGUAGCUGGUCUGAGAGGAAGAUC
rnacentral:rRNA from 1 species